CCAUAGUCAGGAACUCCCCGAGAUAUG
rnacentral:sRNA from 1 species